rnacentral:rRNA from 1 species
GCUCAACCGAGGAAGUGCUUCGAAAACUGGUAAACUUGAGUGCAGAAGAGGAAAGUGGAACUCCAUGUGUAGCGGUGGAAUGCGUAGAUAUAUGGAAGAACACCAGUGGCGAAGGCGGCUUUCUGGUCUGUAACUGACGCUGAGAUUCGAAAGCAUGGGUAGCAAACAGGAUUAGAUACCCUGGUAGUCCAUGCCGUAAACGAUGAGUGCUAAGUGUUGGAGGGUUUCCGCCCUUCAGUGCUGCAGCUAACGCAUUAAGCACUCCGCCUGGGGAGUACGAUCGCAAGAUUGAAACUCAAAGGAAUUGACGGGGGCCCGCACAAGCGGUGGAGCAUGUGGUUUAAUUCGAAGCAACGCGAAGAACCUUACCAGGUCUUGACAUACCAUGAAAAGCUAAGAGAUUAGUCUUUCCCUUCGGGGACAUGGAUACAGGUGGUGCAUGGUUGUCGUCAGCUCGUGUCGUGAGAUGUUGGGUUAAGUCCCGCAACGAGCGCAACCCUUAUUACUAGUUGCCAGCAUUCAGUUGGGCACUCUAGUGAGACUGCCGGUGACAAACCGGAGGAAGGUGGGGAUGACGUCAAAUCAUCAUGCCCCUUAUGACCUGGGCUACACACGUGCUACAAUGGCGUAUACAACG